GAUCUCCUGACCUCGUGACCUGCCCAGCUCGGCCUCCCAAAGUGCUGGGAUUACAGGCAUGAGCCAUUGCGCCUAACCUCAGAAACCAUUUUUAUAACCUCAAUACCUAAUAGAAACUGGCACAUGGGCAACUUUGCAAAUUAAAUGGUUCACAUAUGAAGGAGCACAGCUGUAGAAGGAAAAUAAGGAAGAGAAAAUAACUUCGGAAAAUUCCCAGGACUCAUACUCUAAAGGUCAUGGUUCCAGUACCAGCUUGGCUAGUAAUUAAUUGGAUUUUGGUCUUAGAUAAAUACAGACUUCUAGAUCUGUUUCUUCACAUAUAAAAUGAGAAUAAUCACCACAGUCCUGAUCUAAUAUACUAAGAUUUAGUGUCAAAAAGAAGUGUGGUUCCAAGAGUCAGUUAUUGUGCAAGUGGGUAGAAGUGCUUUAGAGUAAAUAUAAAUUCUGACUCUUUGCUACUUUCUUACUAGACAGUUAGACAAGUCAUUUAGAACUCUAUAGAUCAGCAAAAUAGGUAUAACAUUUUCUGUUUCAUAUUUGUUUUCUAGGUUUAAAUGAGAGAAUGAGUAUCAAAAAGUAUAGCAUGUGCCUCCGUAGGAAAAGUUUGGUAAAUCUCAGCAGCUAAUUAUAGGAAUAAUCAUGGUGGAAAAAGGCAGCAGCAGUAUUUCAAAGCCAGUUGCUUUCAGGGGAGAAAAUGACUGCAAGGUUAACAAAACUUAGCCAAAACCUGAUUGAAAAUAGGGAUAUGAUUCAAAAUGGCAGAUGGCAACCCUAAGUAAGAUUAUUUAGCAAUAGAAGCAUAGAUACAGAGGAGCCAUUGAGAACACAUAAGCAAUGAUUAUCUGAGCUCUAUGAAUGAAGAUCUAGUGUCAGAUGAAUGUGAGUGUAGGUCCACUGAGCGAAUACAUUUCUAUGAAAGGAAUUCACGUAUCAAGUUUUGAGCCCUGAUGGUAUCAAAUAUUCAAAAAGUUGUAAACACCCCUUCUUGUUCUGAUUCCAAAAUAAUCUAACAACUAUAUAAUUAUUUUUAUGUUUAUAUAUUCAUCUAUAUAGAGAAAAUGUAAUGAUCAGGCUAACAUGAGAAUUCAUUCAUUCUGCCUGACACAUCUCUCACUGGGAGUUGACAAUCUAAUGUUCUGAAUUUCUAUUCCAGCCCCUGUGAGCUGUGACUGCAAGAGUCAGCACCUAAAUUAGAUCAACACUACAACAUCAAAAAGCCAGCUUGAUGGCACAGCGGGGAGUGAGGAAGACUCGGUGGACAAAUCUGACUGGAAAACAAGUAGGCGUUGCAGAUGAAGACCUGGAACCAUGGUAGGAAGUGGGACAGGGAGCAUUUGGACAAGCUGUUCAAGAACUGAUCAUGCUCAUGUGUAUGGGAAAACAGAUGGAGGAAGAGAAAUUCCUGAAGAGCACAAGACUGGUGGGGCAAGGAACAAGCCUACUGAGAUGAGUUGCAGAUUUGAAGAUGGGAGAAAUGGUUUCGUUGUCUACCAUGUAAAAACUCAUUUAUGCAAGAUGCUUGAUAUCUGAAUUUCAAUUUCUUCAUUAUCAAAAUGAAUAUUAAAAAUACUCUACUUCUUAGAGUUGUCAAAAAGAUACGGAGAUGUGAAUAAUUUGAAAUUAUUAUCUAUAUGUAAAGUAUUACUAUAUUUACUAUCCUUAUCAAAUAUUUAUCCUACUGUCUAACACAUUAAAUGGACAAAAUAGAACAUUUGAAGGGUGUAGAUCUUGAAAGUUUAAUUUUACAUAAAAAAGGCCAGAAACCUUUCCUAAGAAAAAUGUACAUAUUGCAAAAUGUAGC
rnacentral:lncRNA from 1 species